UUUCUGUUCUUCAUUUAUCUUCUAUUCUUUUUUUCUCGCUCUCUAGAUCUAGGGUUCCAAACUGACCACCUAACGCAGAUACAGAAGAGGGAAGAGAGAAGAGAAAAGAGAGAAGAGAUAAGAGAUAAGAGAUAAGAGAUAAGAUAGAAGAUUUCAAUCUUCGUCGAAGUACCACGCGAGCUUUUGGUUUCUCCCUUCGGUGCGCUCUACGCGGUUACAUCGGACCAAGAGAAAGCCACCAGAGAAAUUCUCCGAUCGAGAACCUCAGUCUCUGAUUCAAAACUGAAAACCCUAGCCGGUACAGAUCCGUUCGGGGUACUAGUCUCUAGUGGCACUCUUGCGGUGUCUCUUCAUGUAUCUCUUAUUCCUUCUGAUUUGAAGAUGAAACUGGUUAAUCUAGAGAAGGAGACCAGGAAAAUUAAAAAGGUAAUGAAAACAAUUUAAUUUUUUAGGUUUUCGAAAUUUGGGGGUUUAUCUUUUCGUUUUUAAGAUGAUAUUGAUCUUCUUGUGUUGUCUUUGUGUUGCUGCUAUUGAAUCUGUUGGGAAGCAUAUUCCAAUGGCCUUCAUGGUAUCCUACUGUUUACUCGCAGCAAACCGGGGGAAGAAAGGCCUGGAGGAAGCUGUUCCUGGAUCUUAGUGACUUUAAAUGCUGAGAAGACGUGGCUGCUUUGAGAUUUGCGAGGAAGGCGGUGAAAUCAUUUUCAGUCUUUUGCUCCACCAACAGCCACAGCAAGAAGUGAUGUGGAUGACAUCACACGAGUUGUCAUGACUAUGGAGGACAGAUGAGACAGAGAGAAUACAUAUGCGGUUGAUGAAUUUUGUGAUGUUGCAGGAAUUGAUGAAGCAGCUGACAAACUUCAAGAGGUAGUGUUUUCUAUUUGAAUUGGGAUGUACUACUUGGUGAAGCUCGGAGGCGAUGUGGACGAGUUCGGUAAAGCUCGGAGGUGCGGAGGUUCAAUCACCGAAGACACGUGAUGGAAUCACCACUAAUGAAAAUGGUGAUCAUGAGUACGUGGAGUAUAACAACUCUUCCACAACGAGUCCCUGUCAGGAUCACUCUCCAUGGCUCUCUGCUUAACAUCAUUUUCCCUUUAUAAGUCUGGUGUGAGAAGCUUGACGACAGAGGAGGCAAGACGUCGUGCUGUGAAGAUGCGAGUCGUAGUGUGGUACGGCACUAGGAGAUAGAACUUUAGGUUCAGAAAUUUUAGUUGUAACUUUAACUUUUCAAAAUUUUGGUUUAGUUUGAUUUUAGUUUAAUAUACUAGUCAUAUAACCAAUUUUAAUAUACAAUUUUUUUAAAUAUAUUUAAUUGUAUUUUUUUUAAAUUUUUAUAAAAGCAGCAUUUAUUCUAUGCUA